GGACUACCCGGGUAUCUAAUCCCGUUCGCUCCCCAUGCUGUCGUGUCUGAGCGUCAGUUGCGAGCCAGGGCGCCGCCUUCGCCUCUGGGGUUCCUCCGGAUCUCUACGCAUUUCACCACUACACCCGGAAUUCCACGCCCCUCUCUCGCACUCCAGAGAACCAGUCUGGCAUAACCCCGCCCGGUUUAGCCGGGCGAUUUCAUACACCACUUGGUCCCCCGCCUGCACACCCUUUACGCCCAGUAAAUCCGGAUAACGCUCGCCACCUACGUUUUACCGCGGCUGCUGGCAC
rnacentral:rRNA from 1 species